rfam:Oryza nivara chromosome 6, whole genome shotgun sequence.
CCUAUGUCCCAUUUCACGACUUUUCGUAUCCAACUUUAAUUGUUUGUCUUAUUUGAAAGAAUUAAAAACAUAUAAGUCACACAUAAAGUAAUAUUUAUGUUUCAUCAUCUAAUAACAAUAAAAAUACUAAUCAUAAAAAAAUGAAAUAAGAUGGACGAUUAAAAUUAGACAUGGAAACUUAUAGCUGCGCUUAAA